AGGAAUCUCGGGUUGCUGCAAAGAAACAGCUUUUGCAGGAAACGGUUACACAAGCAAACAAUGCCAGAUUCGAUCAGACAGCAGAAACUGAAACUUUAGCCGAAAUAGCAGAAAAUAUGACGGUGGCAGUUGUGGAAUAUACAAACCAGAGUGUGUAUAUUGGAGAAAUGGAG